rnacentral:rRNA from 1 species
UACGGAGGGUGCAAGCGUUAUCCGGAUUUACUGGGUUUAAAGGGUGCGUAGGUGGGUCUGUAAGUCAGUGGUGAAAUCUCCGAGCUUAACUCGGAAACUGCCAUUGAUACUAUAGAUCUUGAAUUAUCUGGAGGUAAGCGGAAUAUGUCAUGUAGCGGUGAAAUGCUUAGAUAUGACAUAGAACACCAAUUGCGAAGGCAGCUUACCAAGCCGAUACUGACACUGAGGCACGAAAGCGUGGGGAUCAAACAGG